CCUGAAAAUAUAAAUAAUAAUACCGUCAAUUAGCCGAAACUUGUUCUCGCAUCUGCAAUUAUUAUGCUUUUAUGCGUUGCGGAUGCCUCGUGCAUAUCCUCAAUGCGGACUAUAUCAGUUUUAUGAUUGGUAAUGUAAAAUGUAUCGUAUCUAAAGUCAUGAAAAUUUUCCAAGUUUUUAUUUUAGAGAGCGCUAUAAAAUGUUCGAUUGUAACAAUGUAUAUGUACAAUGGUAACAUAUUAUAAUAUAUACGACAACAUAUGUGUAGUGUAUACAUGAUGUAUGUACGCAUAUAUAAAAUCUUAUCAGUUUAACCGGAACAUAUAUAAUACGAGUGGUUUUAAAAUUUUAUGGGAAAUUAAUUCAGCACAAAAGACAUUUUUAUAAACAUAGGUCGAAAAAUCAAAAGACGCUUUUUCUUAUAAAGUUAACGCUCAAAAUCCUCUAAAUCACGAUUAUUUUAUACAUUUUUACAAAUAUCAGGAAAAUAUUUUUUAACAAAAAGUACUGAAACAAAAGUUGUAGAGAAUUUAAUUAUCUUUCAAAUGAUAUCAAAAUAAUUAUAAUGCGUUUUCCAACGUUUUUGAAAUAACCAAUGGUUUUGAAAUACAAAAGUGUUUUUUUUUUCUACUGUAGACUUUUUGAAAAAUACUUUUUAUUUAUGCUUAGCUAAUUUUUAAUGUUUAUCUUGUUUGUUUGUUAUUCCAUUAAAAUAAAUUUACUUUUGUGCAUUGUUUACCAAUCAUAAGAGGAAAUCAAAAGUCUGCUCAGAAUAAGGAAAAAAAAAAGAAAUAAAAUCAAAGUUUCGUAAAUAUUUGAUCCAUACACACACACACACACACGCACAACAAAUAAACACGGCUUUUGAUUGACUAAAUUAAUCAAAAGGAAAUCCAUAAAGAGAUUAAAUCAAGAGGCGCGGUCGCGAAUCACGCCGAGUGACACGCAAAGCGAAGAUUCGUUACUAUCCGAUGCCGAAAGCGUAUUAAAGCUGGAAAAAGACAUUUUACAGAACAUUUAGUUUCUUCAUAUUUUUAUUGAUUUUCUAUUAUUAUAGUAGUGCUACUUUAGAUUAAAAAGAAUCAUCUUAUUUUUUAAAAGAUAUAUAAAAUCACACAACAAAUAUAUAUAUCAGCAUUUAGAUACAGUUAUGACCUAUAAAGCUUUUUGUUUAUUAUUGUAUUUUAUUUUUAUUCCACGAGAUUUUCGGUCAAAGUUUUGAGUAAGGACCUCCAACUCUUCCGAAUAUAGCCGUCAAUAUAACUGCUUCAAAGUUUAAUAUUCGUUUUUCUCGAAACUUUAUCUUCAUAAUUGAUCAGACAUUUUUAAUCAGCUUUACGAGAUUGGACCGAAAAUUUAGAUUCAGAGAUUUCAAGAAGAGUUGAGAGAAGGUGAGAUUGAUCGUGACGACGUCAUUUUCACGUUUAUAAAAAUCUCAUAGAAAAAAACACAUUUCGUUAAAAGCGUGAUAAGCUAUGAUAUAAUAAGCUACUACGUUACCAAUAAGUGUAAUGCAUGUAACGUACUUUUAAAAUAUAAUUGUUAACAUACUCGAGUUGUUUCAGAGAACUGCUGCAACUUGUAAAAUAAAAAAAUUCUCAGACGCCAAGGGGAGUGUUAAUGUAGAAAUGCUUUUCCAACGCGUGUUAGCACGAGAGAAUCUUACGUGUAUUAACUUCUCGCGAACGUCCAAGGAGAGCGUGUUUUAAAAGUUUCACAAACAAUAAUAAUUCCGCUCGCUCGGGGCUCGUGAGCUUGCGAGUUAAAAAGUACUAAGUGAUGCCGUUCGCCAGAAGUUUCCCACACGAAUCAAUGGAUACCACGAAGAGUCGCGCACGAGGCAUAACAUAUGGACUCGCGCUAUCGUCACUGAUAAGUCCUCCCAUUGAAAGCGAUUCUGCCGUCUGAUAUUAUGAUUCACUCGAAGAUCGUUUAAACUUUAUUCGACAAGGAUUACUUUAUCAAUGCGUGCAUGUAUCAGAAGUAAUUAUUACUGUAUAAAAAUCACACGUGAAAUCAAUGUACACGUUAUAAUUUACUUACAUGCUGCUUACAUGCUGUUUGCAUCAGAUAACGAUAUACCUUUUAAUUUAUAACAACAAUCACAUUUCGUAGAUAUAAUUUUAAUGAAUUACUGACUUGUCGAUAAACGAUGACUAAUCGCAAUACAAGAAAUCUAAAAAAGAAUUAAAGUUCAAGAAUCACCGCGUGAACACUCUCACUAGUCCUUUGAUUAUUUAUCUUUAAAAAAAAAUUUAUUUGGUGGGAAAAGAUAAAACAAUAAAACAUUUUGCUAAAUCGUGUCAGAAAACUCAAAUAUUUAUGAAAGCUAUAGCAUCUGCACUUAACGUCUAUGUAUAGAAAUACUUUAGCGAUAACGUUGCUUGAUAGCGAUUGUAUAAAACUUUUAUAUUCAAAUUAUCAUAUGACACAUCCGGUAGGUAUGCAGAAAAAUAUUAAAUCUACAGUUAUAAUAAUAAAAUUAAAAAUUUAUAUAAAAUUUAUAUAAAAAUUCAUAUAAAUUAUUCUAUUUAUAUUUAUUUCUAAAAUUAUAACAGAGUAAUUGGGGAAUGAAUCCCAUUUUGCUCCACAAAAUUAUAAAAGUACAAAUUGAUAAAAGUACACCUUGAAUUACGUGGCAUGGAAGGCUUGCGUAAGUUAAAUUGUUUACAAAAUCGAAUUAAAUUGCAAAAUUAAUUUACUCAGAAACAACAGGCGAACUCUUGCAGCAAUAUUCGUAGAAACUGCAAAACUCUACGGGAAAAUCGAAAAAAGUUCCUUUUAACCAGCCAGCGCAACACAACAAAGAUGCAUUCGUAGACUUACGAUGAGAGAACUAAUUCCGAGCGCAAACAGGCGACAACUUUACACAGCUUGUCUCUUAACUUUUACAAUCUGCUGAACAUAUAUAUAUAUAUAUAUAUAUAUAUGUGUGUGUGUGUACGUAUAUGGCAAUAAUAUGUUACUUCAUUUAAAUGGAAUAUUACAUUACAAGCGCGAUAUUACUCAUAAUUCGAAAGCAUUUCAUCCAGAAUUUAAGAAAUAUAGCGUACAGAGUUUAUCGUUAUACACCCAAUCGCAUCACGCUGUUUCGUUACACUAAGAAGUUUUGCGUUGCAACAAUGUCAUUAAGUCACGCGAAGUACUGUGCAUAUCUAUUUUUGUAUUACCUCGUUUAUCAUUUCUUUAUUUUUCUUAUUUCUUAAGUGCCGUUGUGACGCACAAACUAUAUAAUCUUAUUUCUACAAAAGUCAAUAGAAACGGGAAUAUAAAUGGCACGUUAUUACUGUGAGUUUUGAGUUUUUUUCCUUUAAUAACGGUUUGAUGACAAACAUGCAGCACGCGUUAAGACGUUACGUGCACCGUAUAGCAACUAUAAUUUCGAGGCAGCUUGCGUUAUAUAUUUUACAGUACGUACGUCAAGGACGCGAUAAGUUCACGAACGAAUACCAACGGUCGAUUAGCACUAAUGAAUUCAUUAUUUCGCAUCGCUGUAAGUAGAAGACAGGUGUCUAUUAUAAUGAUGGCAUGUCAUCAAGACUAAAAAGCCGUUUCGAUCGAUUUGUUGUUUGACUUUAAUCCAAGGUCGGUCCGAAUACGGUACGUCGAUUUGAACUCGGUAUAUCAAUCCGAGACCUCGUUAAACAUCAUUCGUAGAUGAAUGCUUCAAUUUCUAAUGGCGAAACGAGGCUCUACUGCCCACAUCUGUAUACGUCCACGUCUAAAUGUAUUACGUGCCUUAAUAGGUUCCACCGGUGUCUCUUACGUAGGCAUAAUUCUAUAUAGAUUCUAUUAGAGAAGAAUUAAGCCCCAGCCAAUAGAGUGAAAACACUUUAAAGUAUCUAUUUCUAACUUUCUCCGUCUUCUCACGUGUGUGGGAUUUUAAAUCGAAUAUCAAGAGCGCACGUAGAAUGCUAAUGCCUGAAGAGUGUCGGCUGGAUAAUAUCGGUCAAUAUAUCGCUCGCUGUGUUGCGCUGUGUACGUAUGUUAUGUUUCCUAAGCAAAUCCUCGGCGAUCUGCGCCAGCGGAUAUAUAAGCAAGGAACCUCGUGUUUAAUCGAGAUAAUCCACUUCGUGUUGCUGUAAUAUAGGAUGGGCAAACGUGCGAUAUCAAAGGUAGAACAUCUCGCUUGGAAAGCAGGGCUACUCGCGUUUUUAUAAUUAUCUCUCUGUUACGAAACUCGAAUGGAUCGCUUGCUAAUCUCGAUUCGAGUUGUACGGGAGACAAAUAUUUGAGCCGCUUCUCGUGCAACGAAAAAAUAAAAUAAACAAUGAUAAGCUUCUAUUAUUUUCCAUUUUCAUUGUCCAUUCGUUUCUAUCUGAGAAUUGACGCUCGAUGUAGGAUAACAAAAAGAUAAGAUAAUUCACAAUCAUUGAAUUUGUCUUAUCAUUCAACAUAUGGACCAGUUAAUCUAAUCCCCCCUUUUUUUUGUAACGUAUAACAAAUACUUCUCGUUAUUGCAGAAGUGAUCUAUAGAAAUAUUGCGAUUAUAACUAAUUGUGGUUAGAGCAAUGUGGUCAUUGUGGCUUGGAGAGGAAGGAACGAGAGAAAGAUAGCUUCGUUUUCCUCUCUUGACCUCGUUUACAAAUAUCAGUGAGUGAUUCCGGGCGACUUCUAGGGCGAUUAAGCCGCGCGGUUUGCAUACGCGGUCAGUUUAUGCUCUAAUAUUCGCAGAGCAAGAUGGUAAUAAUUCUACUUUCGUGCAGCCCGAUCGUUCCGAUCUGGCGGCGAGGAACGAUCGGAAAAACAUGUGAGUGCGAUUCUGUUGUCAUUAUAGCGUUACAAUUAAGUACAUGGCUAUAAUUAGAAUUCGUAUUGGUUAACAUGGGCGUGAAGCCUAAUCAGAAACUGAUUGAACGCGCAGUGUUAUAUCCCGGAUCAAGAGGCUUUUACGAUGCAUCAAAGAAGGGAUUUGUGAACGGAAAGAAACUUGGACAAAUAUACGUUAUAUCGCCUUUAAUAGUAGGAAAUGUGUAGGUGUAUGAAUUCGUUCCAACUUUACAAAAUAAUUUUAAAAGUAUUUCUAAAGAAUCAAUGUUGCGCGUUUCCUUGCGGUUGGAAGCCGCGAACGUUAAAUCUUAGUUUUAGUUCUAUGUUUCUAUGUAAAUACGUCCUUGGCCGAGCCAUAAAUAAGGAAGGACUCGACGAAACGUAUACGACAUAUGAGAACGAGACAUAUGAACUAUUGACAAAACAUUCAUAAAAUCUGCAAUUUAAAAUGAUUGCCAAGGGAGUAAAGUUCUUAAAAUGAUCUCGAUAAUGAUUUCGUUUCUUAAGACAAUUGCCAAAAGAGUAAACAUCUCAAAGUGAGCUCAGUAACGAUUCCUUUUCUCAAGACAAUAUUUUGUUUACCGCAACACAAUUAAUAAUCAGAAUUCAAGUUAUAUAGUCCUUAAAUUUAAUUACAUCUGAUUAACGCUGACAACUUGUGGAUACAACACACUGUUUGAAGAUGUAACAAGUAUUAAUUAAGCAGGUUUAUUAUUCAUACACAGUACACCCCAACGAUUUAUCCUUCCGGCCAACCAUUGAGACCACGAGCGCAAUAUUUCAUUUCGUGUUUCGCACAAAAGGGCUUUUAGUAUCUCCACGAUAAGGCGUGGUAGCGUUGAUCCCUUCAAAGGCCGGCCGGUAGUGUACGAGCGCGCGGAAAAUCGAACUGGAAUUUUCGUUGCGACCCCCUCUCCCCCUUGAAAAAUUAAAUUUUCGAGCGGAAAGUUUGGAACAAAAAUUCCUCGACUGCCCCCAUGAUUUAUUCAUACCGCUCCAAAGUUCUAAUGCCGCGCAUAAACUCGCACGAAGCGCAUUCUCCAUCUCAUGUACACGAAAGAGGAAAUCGAAUACACGUGUCGACUUACUUUGUACGCGAUCUAGAAACGCUUCGAGAAUAUUGAAAUUCCUCGUGUAGAAUUAAAAACCUUUCUUUUUUUUUAUUUUGCUGGGUUUUUCUUCUUUACUCGAAAUGUUGCGUAACGCAGCAAUGAAUUUUAUCAGAACGAAUAGUUAACUCUGUCUUUUUCAUCAUUAUAAAAUUUUAUUUUUCACACCAUUGAAAAUUUAUUAAGAUAAUUUUUUUCAUCUAAAGAAUGUGUUACACAUAGAUUAUUGAAAAACCUUACAGUUAUUAUUUGUUAAAUACGUCCUGAGAGAAAAAAAUUUUAUCAUCGCGCGAUUACUGAGAAAAAAAAUAAGCCUUAUCAAAUAAAAGUACAUAGUUUGCAAAAAAAAUAAUAGGACGAGGCAUCUUGAAAUGUAAUAUCUGAAAUUGAUAACUGACGAAAGGAUAUACAGGAAAUUAUAUACAGGGUGUUUCAGAAAUAGUUGGUCAAACUUUAACAGCAUGUUCCACUCAUUGUAAGGAUAAAAAAAAGUCAUAUAAACAUGGGUUUGAAAAUGUUUUCUUUCCAAGUUAUAAACAUUUUUUGAUUUUACAGAAAUUGCUGGAAAUAAUUUCCUUUCGCAUCAAUGCAUUUCCUUCGCAUUGACGUCGCAUGGAUUGUCGAAAACGUUCAAAAAUUCUCGGAGUAUUUCGUAUUUUUUCACACAGCAAUAAUACAAUUUCAAAGUACUUCUACAGUAGCAACAAAAGUAUCAUACAUGAGAGUCUUAAGAUGCCCCCAUAAGUAAAAAUUCAAAGGGUUUAAAUCGGGAAAACGUGCAAGCCAAGCAAUGAGUCCUCCUUUACCAAUUCAUGUAUUGAUGUAAUUAUUAUUUAGGAACUCUCGAGCAAUGCGGUUGAAAUGUGCUUGAGCUCCAUCAUGCAUAAACCAAAUUUGAUUGCGUAUCUGUAGUGGAAUGUCUUCUAAUAAUAUAGGGAGUUGCGUUUCCAAAAAUUGUCUGUAAUUGUUAUUAUUAAGUGUAGAUAAAAAAAAUCGGUC